GGAGGUUAUCAAUAAAUUUCCAUCAAUGACAUACCUUCAUCCUGGUGUGGACAAUAUCACGUUGCUCAGUUGUUUGAAUCAAUUCACGGGUUUAAAACGACAUCAAUUGGUACAUUUCGACCAUAUGCAAGGUCCAAUCAUUCCAGGUACAAUCAAAAUUCCUACCUGUGGGGUUGAUAGUCGAGCAAAUACUUGGAAAGAGAACGUGGGGUCAUGGAUGGGGCGCCAUGGAGAGUCCACUGGGUGCAAGGGGGAGGAGGGCCGUUACCUCCUGGCCACCAGAGGUGACGUGAAUAUUCUCGCUUUAUAGAGGACUCGAGAGAGGGAGAGAGAGAGAGUGAAAGGAGUUCAGAGCACAGGAUGGUUCGGAAAUUCGAGCUGUGCGGAAUGUCGAGGUCGUCAAUGAGAGCGCGCGGUGCAUCUAGCAGCACGAACGUACUCAUUUAUCUGCUGUACUUCGGUUGCUGCGGACUUUCUCUCGGGGAUCAACUCAACACAACAAGCAGAAACAUAACCAAUGUCUCGGCUUCAACAUCACGGGUUCCAAGUGUCCUGAAAACAUCAUUGACGUCACCACGCAUGCCUGGUAAAGCAAGAGCCCCGAAAGAAGACGUGGUUUCGACACCUAAUUUCUCCAAGCAAUCUUCCACGAUGCCACCCAGCAAGGCUCCGGCAGGAGUUGACGUCAUCGUGAGGAGCAUGCCAAAAUCGUCACCGCAACUCAUUCCAGGAGGUUUAGAGUCCACAACUUCACAACAAUUUACCACAAAAGCAUUGAACCAAACUGACGUCAAAUCGAUUCCAUACAACCACAGUGAGACAAAUACAAGAAAUCAUAGCGAUUGGACUCGGCCUGAAUCCUCAACCACAAAAACGAUGACCAAAGAUGCAAACCAUGUCCAUGUUGAAGCGACGAGCACCGUCAGGCAGGUUAUUCUUGGCUUGACAAUCAGCACCAAGGCAAAAAGAACAAGCGAGGACACCUUUGGGACAACCAAGGAAAGCAAAAGGCUUUCAGAACCAACUUCAACUUCAGAAGCACCCGAGGUCAAUCGAUCACUACACACUGCUUUCAUUAUAGUGGGAGCUUUAUUGCUAAUCCCCAUCACGAUGUGGGCUUUGUAUUUCCUCUGGAAAAGAUGCAGACCACCACAGCAGUGUCCGGUAAGUUCACACUUCAAGUGUGGCUCACAUACUAGUAAAAUGCAAUCCUGAUUCCCAACCUUUGGGACAACAAUGGAGCCUGCUGUCACCAACUAAAGGUGGUGACUAAUUUCGGGCUCUAUAUGCAAAUAUGGCAAAAUGUUUUCUCCUCCACCACUCACACUUUCCUCCUGUUUCCUUCUCUUCCUAUUCUCAAUGUUCUUCACUCAUUCACACCACUGAACUUAUACAUACAUCAUAUUCAAUAAUGAAAACUUCAAAAUGCUUAACUUGGGCACAAUUUUUUUCCUGAAUUUGGCCACAACACAUUAUACUGUACCUAGUAAUUACUAUUACGAACAAUAAACAGGACGGCAGACGAUUGUUGUCGUUGUAGUGCAAUACUUGACAUGCCCCGCACUUUUGGAAAGAAAAGGUACAUUGAAAAUGCUGUUAUGAUUGCAAAGAGAAGAUUUAUGGCUUACUUGUCAUAGAACAAACAUGUCGGCCAUUUCGGUCUUCAUGGCGACUUUGUUUGCUCAAAUCCAAGGUAUUAACUAAACAAAGGUAGUUUUCUUUCCGUGUUUAAUUUAACGCAUUACUUGCAAGUACUGGUGAUGUAAAGAAGCAUUUUGUCAUUGGCAACCCAACAGGGUACAACAGAAAUAAUUGAAAAUGGCUGCCAGGAUCGUGGUCCAAAUAACACCAAGCCAGACCUGCCAACCCAAGCAUCAAGGAAUCGAGAUGGCGCACAGCAAUGUCUGGCCAUGCGUGAGGAGGAAGACACACACCUUUGAAAGACCUGUUCUUUUGUACAAUCAUUUUUAUUUUUAUUGUCCCACCGUUUGCAUAUUUUCAGUUACCUGUAAAUACCUGGCUUAUCUUAAUUUUAAAAUGCUCUGCAAAAGCUCAUGCAGUUCCGUUUCUUCUCUGUCCGCAUGUGCAAGCGAGUUUUUCUUUGUGCACAUCUCAUUAUUCACACUGACUCGUGGAUGUUCAAAGAGUCGGAAGUUUUAACAAUUAAUUUUUUAACGGAUGUUUUGAAAUAGCAACAUUCUCAUGUCAAACUGUUUAUUUCUGGGUUUUUUUGUUGCUUCGUUUAAAUCAUAAACGCCAACUUCGUUUAAAUUUAAAAAAAAUUAUAAAUGCCAACUUACUCCUUUAGCGAAUCUGAUAAUUACACAAAUGCAAUUAUGAAUACAUUAUGUUGCAAGAGAAACAAAAGGACGUCUUGUAAAACAACCAAAUCUCCAUUGUUACCUGCACCAACGAAGGUGAACAGAAGUUAUGUUUUUCACUCCUGUCUGUUUGUCUGUCUGUGAGCAGGAUAUCUCAAAAAGUUAUAGACGGUGGACACGUUGGGUGUAGGACAAGCACUAAUAGAUUAGAUUUUGGUGAAGAUCUGGUACAAGAUUUUGACACCAGAGUUUCAAAAGUGGUCCUUCACCAUUGAGAGAUAUGGCCAAAAACUAUAGUUGACAUGAUAUCUCAAAAAGUUAUGGACGGAUUCAGACAAAACUUGGAGUAGGUCAAAAUGGUGGACACGUUUGGUGUGUGACAAGGACGAAUUACUUCGAUUUUUGGUGUAGAUCUCGAUCCGAGAAUUAAAAUUAAAAAACUGAUUCUUCACCAUUGAGACAUAGGGCCAAAAUGAUAUGCAGUAUGGCAUGAUAUUUCAAAAAGUUGUGGACAGAUUAUGACAAAACUUGGUCGAUGAGUUGAUUAGGUGAGAAGAACAAGCCGAUUCGAUUUUCAUUCAGGUCCGGAUGCGGAUCUGGCCUAUCAGUGGGAUACGACUCGUAAACUGUUCAGCCUGGCGGCGGUAUGCGCUCCACCAAGUGCCAUUCUAGUUUUUAUUAUUUUCAGUCUAUAUGCAUUUUGAUGUCGUUUCACCUGCCUCGGAUUUUUUUUUCGUGGGGAAAGGUAUUUGUAAUAAAAAAUAAAAUCAUAUGUACUUUCUCUAUGCAAUCAUUUGUAUUUUAUUUGUGUAACUUUUCUUUAAAGAUGUUAUUAUGAGGUCAUAACUGUGCUUGGGUUGACCACAUUCACUGAAAGAGAUUUUCUAAAUUGGUCUUUAGUAGAAAUUUUAAUUCUUGCCAAAAAAACAACUAACAGGUUUAUUUGAAACAACCUCCCAUCAUAACUUGAUGGUUUCUGCAUCGACAAGACCAAUUACCUCCUGGGAGGUUUUGUGAAUAUGUGAUGUAAACAUGCUGGUGAGGACAAAACAGAAAUAGACAUGGUUGGUCUCAUGGUCCAACUUAGAUUAACCUGCUCAGUCGUUAUUGUCUCAAAACAAAGAGACACAUUUGCAACGUUGAUCUGACUAUCGACUCUGGGUUUAUGGAUUCCACCCACGUGUAGGACUUAAUGUAACUUUUUUUUAAAUCGUGCAGACUGUAAUGCGUUGCACUGACCAGUGACCACUCAUAAAAUCAACUUUUUCUCACUUGUUCCUCUUUUCUCCUGCCUGUGGUAUGAAUUUCCACAUUCUCUUCAAUCUCAUUCUUCCCUCCACAUCUUCAAGACAGCUGUUCAUCACCAUCUCAGAUUGUCCCCAAUCCAAACCAUGAUCUUUCCUAUCCUUGUUACCCCCACCCCCUCCCAAAACCCCAACUCAAUCCCUCCUCCAUCCAAAUCUCCAGUUUUCCCUCCUUGGAGUUUCCUUCGGUAUCCAUUUUGUGCACUUCAUGCAUCCUCUACUGGUCCCCCAUUCCUUCCCACACCCUUUGUUUGUCCAAGUCUCCCUCUAUCCAGGCCUUCGACUCUGCUGUUGAUAUUAACCCCUCUAUCUACUGUUCAUUUUGCAUCCUGUUACAUCUCGCUAGUCGAGGCUCAUGGAAGGGUACAUUCAGUGCACUCUUCCGUGAGCCUCGACCAUGUAUACAAAAACCCCCAAAAAUCUGGAAUGAAUAAAAAAACAAUGUCUGUCUGAAACAAUGAAUGUGCUGAAGUAAGAAGAAUUGCAUCAGGAAUGAAAUAAACACCGUUUACUUACAAUUUAUAAGAUGGCAUUCCUUGUAUAAAACAGCGGCAUAGUUUACAUGAAUGUUACAUUCCGAGUGGGAUGUGUGUAAAGGGUGUGAGGCAAGCAGGAAAAAGGAGAAGGGGGUGGGGUUAAACCCCCGCAAACAUCAAUUCAAACCAUCAGCGUACAAGCUGUGAGAUGAUAAAGUAAUAUUACAAAAGUUUAACAAAUGCAUGGGAUGACAAGAGCCAAUGUCACAUUUUACAAAGCAGCAGAGUUCUCUAGUUAUGAUGUCAUGAUGUUCAAGUUGUACCAUUCAUUGUUUAGUAGAGUAACAAUAUUUCCUGAACUAAAAUAAGCCUCAUUGUUCCUCUCAGCUAAUGAUUCGAGUCAACUUCAGAAAAGUACUGGUUCUAACAGAGAGUUGGGUGUUUCACCUACAGGUUGCACCAGAAUUUUUUUUCUCGAAAAUUCAAAUUGGCAGAGCAACCGGCACACAUGCCCUGCUCUUUCUAAGCAUAUAAUACCGUGAGAUCUUUUUACGUACAUGAUAUAGCUUGGGCGUACGACAGAGAGAGUUCAGUGGUCGAGAAAGCAAAAUAAGAAUAUUUUCUGAUAUGUCUGCGGAAGGAAGUCAUGUUUGCUCUGGAAACACAGCGAUCAAAGGGAAUUUCAGAAAUAGACAAACUUUGGAAAUGUUAAACAGUCUAAAGGAGCGCAUGGCACAACAACAGUGGCCUUCGAGGCACCAACAGUGGGAUGAAGAUUUCCUCGGACAAAUUCAUGU
rnacentral:lncRNA from 1 species